rnacentral:rRNA from 1 species
CCUACGGGAGGCAGCAGUAGGGAAUAUUGCUCAAUGGGGGAAACCCUGAAGCAGCAACGCCGCGUGGAUGAUGAAGGUUUUCGGAUUGUAAACUUCUUUUGUUAGAGAAGAUAAUGACGGUAUCUAACGAAUAACCACCUGCUAACUCCGUGCCAGCAGCCGCGGUAUUCCUAAGGGUGCAAGCGUUACGCGGAAUCACUGGGCGGAAAGAUCGCGUAGGCGGGAUAGCAAGUCAGAUGUGAAAUCCUAUGGCUUAACCAUAGAACUGCAUUUGAAACUGUUAUUCUAGAGUAUAGGAGAGGUAGGUGGAAUUCUUGGUGUAGGGGUAAAAUGCGUAGAGAUCAAGAGGAAUACUCAUUGCGAAGGCGACCUGCUAGAACAUAACUGACGCUGAUGCGCGAAAGCGUGGGGAGCAAACAGGAUUAGAUACCCGAGUAGUC